AUGCGUGGUCUGCAGCUGCCGCUCCUCCCAGUUGCGCUUCGUUGUGCAAAGGACCUCGAUCUCGUCCGCUGCGUCGGGGAUCUUGGGCAUGCGGUUUUCCCACGGGCGGCGGGCAUGCCGUUUUCCCCACGGACAGCGACCUCAAAGUCUGCGACAUCGGUGGUUGGGGGGCGCACCCCUCCUCGCCAUUCUCCAUCGAAAGCCCUCCACUCUUCUUUGUGGGGUGCAGACCAACAGCCGUCCGGCGGGGAGAAGGCAUGGAGUCACCGACAGGAGCGCACCGCGUAG
rnacentral:rRNA from 1 species